GGGGGCGACCUGGUUUCGACUUGAGUUUGACUCCGAUAGUAGUGGCAUGCCGAGGACGCCUGGUUGGCCUCGUUAAUCAUCCUGGCACAAAUUAAACGCAAAUACACUAAUUGCGCAAGCUAACGAAAUCGUUGAACCGAUUUUCGCUGGCGAACCAGCCCUAGUUUAACCAAACUAGGCCCUUUCUUAGAGUUUUGUCUACGGGUUUUAAGAGAGGUCAUUUAGUAGGCUGGUUUCACUGGUUGCCUUUAUUAGUGAAAUGAGAUUUAAAAGGCUGGUUUCAGUAAUGUUUGUUUGUUUAAAGUGACUGAGAUGAGAUUCUAAAAAACAAACUAUGCAUGUAGAGGCUAUUAUUGGGUAACACAAGGACCGGAGUUCGAUUCUCCGCGCCUCCACCA
rnacentral:tmRNA from 1 species